UACUUUCUAUAGCUGCUGAUACAGCUAUGAAGUAACCAUUUUUCAAUACCAUUGUGGGAUGCCUUUAAACUGGUAUUUGGUUUCAUACAUGCACUGUCCAGUUGAUGAAUGGAUCUGCUUGGUUUUGGCCUGGGGCAUCUAAGUGAGGUGCUCACCUGAUGGAUGGCCUGGAUCUCAUUCGCAUCUAAGAUACACUACUUAUUUUGACUUGUCCCUCUAGAUUGAGAUGUUUCUUAGAUACUCCAUUAUACAUGGAUUGGAGUUUCCUUUCUUACCAUCCUUCAUAACAAUCAUCUGUUCUGUUAGAUCAUCCACUCAACCUGUCAUAGGAUCUGUCAUACUAUUCAUAGCACCUAUCUGUUCUGUUACCACUUGCAUCUGCUGCAUCAUCUUCCUCCAAAGCUUGUUUUGAUCUUCCCCUUCCAUCCUAGGACUAAAAGAUGUCCAGCUAUGUGUGUGCAUUUAAUUUUGGAACUAGAUGGGGGCAAAGAUUUGACUGGAAUAUGGACAAAUUUUGGAAAUUUGGUGGAUUGUUAUUGGGUUGCAAUUGGACAAAGCCAUUUUAAAUUCAAAAGGUGAUGGUAAUUGCACUGCAGGUUAUAGGUUGGAAGUUGGCUAAUUUAAGAACUGAUUGAGGGUCUGUUUGGGACAGAUUUUGAGGUUGGAUGUGUAAUAGGAUUGAAGUUGGGGAAGGAAUGAGCUGUAGUUUGUACUGUGGACAGAGAUGGGUGUUUAAGGUUGUUUUGGAGUAUGCAGAUUCUGAAGGCUGUUUAUGACAGGUAGUGUGCAUAGUUGGGUGGUUCCUAGGUUGAGAACUAGGACGGGCUCUAGGGCUGGGUUCUGUUCUGGAAAAUAUGAUUGUGACCGUUCAUGGGAGCCUGUUUUCUCCUUUUCCUUUCGGAAUGACAUACCCAUAUGGACACAUUAUCAUACCUUGGCAUGGAUGUGGAUAUGGAGACUGCUCAAUUUAAAAAAUAGCAGCAUGUGGCUAUAGCCAUAACCAUGCCAUAUCCCGUAUUCCUACCCAUACUGUAUAGUUUAGGUACAACUACUCUUGAUCUGUACAAGUGUGUAGGUACCAUAGUGGUUGCAUGCUACAUGCAUUCUUGUGACAGCAUUCACUGCUUGAUUAUUAUUAUUAUUAUUAUUAUUUUACGAAGGUCUUCUAAUUUCUGAUGUAGAUGGAGAUGCAGUUGCUUUACUCCAAGCUUCAUGAUAAGUACACAGAACUGAAGGUUUGCAUGGCUUUUGACACUAGUCUAUUUUUACAAGAAUUAUUGAGAAGUACCUUCUUCUUCUUUUUUUCUUUUUUCUUUUCUUUCUUUUUUUCAUUACUUCUCCUAAUGGUUUGGGCUCGGCAUGUUUAGAUGAGAAAGGAUCAAAGGAAUCUGAGAUUGAGCAGUACAACCAUGAACAGAAAUCAAAGUUUAUGAAUUAUGUAUCUGGUACUCUUUUUCCUCAUCAUAUUUCUCAUCCUUCAUUUACUUCAUUUGGUUUUAUUGCAUUUUUUAUCAUGCUUCAAAAUUGUCAGCAGCACCUAUUAUGUCAGUCGAUAUCUCUAUUGAACUGUAUUAUGCUGUUGAUAAUCUACUUUUUUUUUUUUUCCCUCUUAUAUUCUUUUCUUCAGAUCCUACUACAUGGACCGCCCCAUUUCUUCAAAACCAAUCUGCCUUGACUUUUUUGUGGUAGCAUAUGGCCUCUUCAUGAAAUAAUUUCUUAAUAUAUUGCAUGCUUUCUGAACCCAUUGUCAUGUUUAUCUCUUCUUUCUGUAUUAUUUUCCCAGCUGAUUACCCUUAAUCGCUCUUCAUCUUCGAAAAACAGCAUCACAAGUCAUGGUUGUGAGUCUUGUGACUGGAUUUUUAACUGUGGAUAUUAUUUUCAGGACAACAAAUAAGGACAAAUGUUGAAGCUGUGGAACCAUCUACCCAAUUGGGAUUGCGAACACUGUUUGGCUUGGCAUGAAUUGAAUGUAAAGAUUAAUGCUAUAAAUGCUGCAACUGAAGCAGUUUGUCUUAUUCUAAGUGUGGAUGAGACGGUGAAAACACAGGUAAAGUCAACUUGUUAAAGAUGGUGGUUUUUAAAUUUUCUAUUUUUAUUUUUAUAACUUGCCUCAACCUGUCAUUGGUGCUUAUAUAGGUUUCUCUGUUCCAGUUCUUGCAUUAGACCUGGUUCUUCUGGUUACUACGUUGCUCGCUCUUGACAAAUUGCAUUUCUUUGCAUGAGCCCAUUGAAGCACAGCACAUGCUGUGAUUUUGCUUCACAUUUGAUUUGCAUUGUUAAGGAUCUUCUAGAGUUAUAUGCAAAGGAGCAUCAUAUUCUUGGCAUGAAUAAACCCCAACAACUGAGAGAGUUGGAAAUCUUUGUUUCAUUCAAGGAGCUACAAGUAUGACGGUCCUCAGAAGUUUAUGGCAGGCCUAUGGCUCCAUGAGCACUGGGGAGGUUCAGAUCAUGCCCUGGUACAGCUCACGAAUUCUCUUUUCGUAUGAUCAGAAAAUACAAAAAGUAUGUCUUCACUAUUUGCAGAUUAAAGGAAGCAUGUCUUCACUAUUGGCAGGCCUAUUGGCUCCAUGAGCACUGGGGAGGUUCAGAACAUACAAAAAGUAUGUUUGUCAAGUCUCACUCUCUGUCAUGCAGCACAUUGCCAAACUUGUUGGGAACAGAACUCUAGUUCUGCCCGUGCCUGCAUUUAAUGCCAUCAAUGGAGGAUCACAAGCAGGCAAUAAGCUGGCAAUGCAGGUAUGGUUGAAACAAAUAAUAUGUUAUGAGAAGUGUUGUUGUGAAAAUGACAAUCUUAAUAUGUUAUGAGAAGUGUUGUUGUGAAAGUGACAAUCUUUUCGACUGUGUUUCUUUUUUAUUUUUAUUUUAUAUUUCAUAUUUUAUAUUUUAUAGGAGUUUAUGAUCCUUCCUGUUGGGGCAUCCAUUUUCAAAUAAAAGUAUGAUUUUUGUU